rnacentral:rRNA from 1 species
GACGAACGCUGGCGGCGUGCCUAAUACAUGCAAGUCGAACGAGUGGCGGACGGGUGCGUAACACGUGGGAACCUAACCAUCAGAGGGGGAUAACACUUGGAAACAGGUGCUAAUACCGCAUACUGAUGGAUGGACCCGCGGUGCAAUCGCGAGCUGGUGAGGUAACGUCUCACCAAGUCCCCGAUCCAGAGCUGGUCUGAGAGGAUGACCAGCCCCACUGGAACUGAGACACGGUCCAGACUCCUACGGGAGGCAGCAAUGGGGAAUAUUGCACAAUGGGCGCAAGCCUGAUGCAGCCAUGCCGCGUGUGUGAAGAAGGCCUUCGGGUUGUAAAGCACUUUCAGCGGGGAGGCGUUACCCGCAGAAGAAGCACCGGCUAACUCCGUGCCAGCAGCCGCGGUAAUAC